GGCUCAACCGCGGAACUGCAUUUGAAACUGUUUUUCUUGAGUACCGGAGAGGUCAUCGGAAUUCCUUGUGUAGCGGUGAAAUGCGUAGAUAUUAGGAGGAACACCAGUGGCGAAGGCGGCCUGCUGGACGAUGACUGACGUUGAGGCUCGAAAGCGUGGGGAGCAAACAGG
rnacentral:rRNA from 1 species